rnacentral:lncRNA from 1 species
AGAAAAGUGACAUGCUUCAUUAAACCGUGUGUUCAAUAAAUCGAUAGCCCAAAGGCUAAGAGACGUGGUCAAAUUGAGGGCCUCCUUGUGUUGUUCAUGAAACCAAUGCUAGAACAUGUCUCUAAUGCACUCGAUCAAAAUGGUGAUUGACAUUUUUCUUACUUGAUUCAGACACGAGUUAAUACACUCCGCAAUGUUGCAUGUCAUGAGUUUAUAGCGCUUUACAAGUGACCGUGCAUGUGCCCAUUUCUCAAGGCAUAAUAUCAUAAAAUGGUGGUAAGCAUCCUUGCAAAUCUAUUUCAGUUGAUUCAUAUGUUUGUUGAAAUCGGCUACCCUGUAGCAAUUGACUGCAAGUGUGAAAAUCAUUGUAAUGUCUUCGCGCUUGAACUUAUUUUUUACAUUUUUUCUCCAAGUGGUAAUUGCAUAGACUGUGGUGCUCAUUGUGGUACACUUUUGCAAUUGCAUUCUUAAUGCCACGAUGCUGAUAAAAAAUAAACAUUGUAUUUUUAAGACAAUCAAUCACAUGACGCAAUGGGGUAAGAAACCAUGACCACGACUCUUGUUCUCAAUGUGGCCAACGCUGAAUGCAACCAAAUAUAUUUGCUCAUUUGAGGCUUUACAGAUAGUAACAAACAGAAUACCUUGAAUCUGCCUUUCCGAUGUGUGACAUCGAUAGCAACUAUAGGUCGCAUUACAGCCCUGAACCCCUAGACACACGCCUUGUAUGCCUAAAAAUAAUAUUUGAAUUGUUGUGCUUGAUUGGUGGCCACAAUUGUGACUAUAUUGGGAUUUUCACAUUUCAACAUAUAGAAAUACGAGGGUAGGAAUUAAAAUGACUCCUCCAAUGGACUGAAAACAAGACUCUUUCCAUACUCAUUUGCUUGCCAAGCCUUACCAUACAAGCAUUGUAAUCUCCACUUGCGAUUCAUCUCUUUCAUUUUUUCCUUAGGUCUCUAUGGUGUUACAUUAUUUCCUUACAGCUUGGAGGACAUAAACUCACCAAUUAACAUUGUGCUCACUGUUCAGUACCCACCUUGCAAACUAUUAACAAUAUACAUGUGUACCUUGUGGUACGUGCGAGCUUGUCAAUAAUCUCUGUUAAGCAACUUUCUUGCACGCAUAAUGAACUUGCAUGCCUUGUCUUUACAAGCAACCUUAAAACGAACGUGACAUGACUUUUCAACUUUAAUCUCGAAAUGCUUUUUUAAUGCUUACAUGUUUAAAGCUAGUUUCAAUUUGACCUUGGAAGGAAACAUUUUUCCUUGGUAUGAGUGGUCAUCGCUUGAUUUGGAUCGCUUAAUCUGGAUUCCUCGAUGGCAAUUGUUUGGAAGGAGAUCACAUCUACACCUGAAAUAAUCCAUUGACGAGAUAUCCCAACACUUACCCUUUUUAGAUCACUAUCAUCAGGAAAACAAAUUCUGUUGUCACCAAUGAUGGGGUUAUUGUAAAUAGGGUCAUCACACUAAACAUCUUCUAAAACAACAGCAGUGGCAUGCUCGAUACUACCAUCCAUAUGAUUGUAAUCCGAAAUGUCAUUGUCAUCACCCUUGUCCUCCUCUAAACAAUCAUCAUGCCAGCCAACAUAAUCAUCAUCAUUCCAAUCAGCAAUGUCAUCCUCUACAUAGUCAUCGUGCAUCUAAUCAGAAGCAUCGUCAUCACUCACAACCGUUGCAGUGUCGUUUGAGAAAGGUAAUGGAUCCACUACAAUUUUGGGCUUCAGUUGCAUUUGUUGGCAAGAAUGAAGUAUUUGGUUCGAUGCACAUUCUGAUCAAAAUUGUGCAGACAGCAUUUGGAAACACCUCGUGUAUGUAUCGGGCUACUCAAACUCAUGUGCAUACGUCGAUGGUGAUUGUUAUUGUUGUCAAUUAGGGACUGUGCGGUAUGGUAUGUCUGAAGUAGUAUAAAUUUGAUUUCGGUGAUUACUAUGUUGCAUAGCUUGUUCAUGUUGUAUAACAUUUGUAUGUUGUUCCUUAAUUGUCAUAAACACUACAACUCCUCUCUCAUCUCCUAAAAUACUUGUUUAAUCUUCAUCAUCCCUAAUAACUAGGUGCGAAACCCCUGCGACAUGACUGAGCAAUGCAUGUAGAUUGAUUUUAUGAUUUUUUUGAGUUUACCUCGACAACAUCUUCAACUAGCUUCAUUAGGCUCGAAAACUACAAAUCACUCCCAACACCCCUCACUCGUGUCUCACAACUCCUGUUAGUGUCAUCGACCCAACAGCCACCAUAUGUAAUCAUAAGCUUCAAAUUUAGCACUUUAUUGAUAUUUAACAGUCACGUAAUGCCUAAAAACCAGACACACAAUGAUUAAGUCACGCAAUGCUUAAAAGGUAGUCUUGUAAUAUCUAAGUCACGCAAUACCUAAAAAUCAGUUAUGCAAUACUUCGGUCAUGCAAUACCUAAAACCAGUCAUGCAAUCCCUAAUAACCAAUCACGCAAUACCUACAACCAGUCACGCAAUGCCUAAGUUCUAGAGAUGCAAUGAUUAAGUCACGC